AUGUUUUCAGGAUGUUUUAGGGGGUUUUUGGGGAGUAUUUUAGAGUCAUAUUCAGGUAUGUUUGGUCCCUCAUUUGAGUCCACCUGUGUAGGUUCGGACCCGAGGAACCGAGACCCCCAGCAGUGAGCCAGCUGCUUCAGAGUCUCUUUAGAGCUAGCCAGAGGUGAGUGGAAUACACUUUAAGUUUUAAAGCAAAUUAAUGAAAUGUUUUAGCAUGAUUCACGCAUCAUGAAUGCCAUGAGAUAUAUUAGGUUGUUUGCAUUAGAAUUCACGAAUAUGUUGCAUUGCAUACUUUGUUGUUGAUGUGGAUGAAUGUUGAAUGAUCCAUUAGCCCUUGUAUGUCAUGAUAGCCUAUGUGAGUCCAGGUGUGCCUGCUACGGCUCUACGCCCCUGGCACUAUGACAGAUUAUGGAAGUCCGGGUGUGCCUGCUACGGCUCUACGCCCCCGGCAUGUAUAAGUAAGAAAGAUAGGAGCUAAAUGGUGACAAGUUCAUCCUUGUUGUGAAAUGUUUGUGUUAUGGCGCAUACAUGAAAGCAUGAUUUAAAUUGAUGUUUUAUUAUUCUGCUCACUGGGCUCUAGUAGCUCACCCCACUCCCUUUAUCCCCAGAGUUGCAGGUACAGGAUAGAUCAGGAAGUCGGCUAGAGGGAAGUUAAGACAUGUAUGUUGUAAUAGAUAGUAGUGGACAUGAACAUGAUGUAAUGAGUAUUUAUGACCAUGUAAUGUAAUGAAUGAUUUGAUGAUGUAUUGAGGAUUAUAGUAGUGCUUGACCUAGAGGUGUGUGAAUCCCCAUUAUGUACAAAGUGUUUAAUGAGUAAUGAUGUUAAUGACCA
rnacentral:lncRNA from 1 species